ensembl:lncRNA
ACCACGGGCUAACUAGACUUGUGUAUAAAUGCCUUUGGAAAGUAUUCAGCCCUCAUGAUUUUGGGGCGGCAGGUGCCUAGUGGUUAGUGUGUAGAGGAGGCAGGUAGCCUAGUGGUUAGAGCGCGGAGGAGGCAGGUAGCCUAGUGGUUAGAGCGUAGAGGAGGCAGGUAGCCGAAAGGUUGCUAGAUUGAAUCCCCAAGCUGACAAGGUAAAAAUCUGUCGUUCUGCCACUGAACAAGGCCGUCAUUGUAAAUAAGAAUUUGUUCUUUAACUGACUUGCCUAGUUAAAUAAAGGUUAAAUAAUAA